rnacentral:rRNA from 1 species
UACAGAGGGUGCGAGCGUUAAUCGGAAUUAUUGGGCGUAAAGGGUGUGUAGGUGGUUUGACAAGUUAGGCGUGAAAUUCCAGGGCUUAACCUUGGGGCUGCGUUUGAUACUGUUGAGCUAGAGUAUGGGAGAGGCAAGUGGAAUUUCCGGUGUAGCGGUGAAAUGCGUAGAUAUCGGAAGGAACAUCAGUGGCGAAGGCGGCUUGCUGGAUUAAUACUGACACUGAGGCACGAAAGCAUGGGGAGCAAACAGG